AUCAGGAGAAAACUCAAGAGUAACAAGAAUACUAUCAGGGGUCUCUAUCCCUCUGGUCAGUAUGCUGACAGGUGCAGAUGUUCAUCUCAGGAACCCAGACUGGUUCUCCUGCAUGUUCUGGAAAAAUACAAGCAUAACCUCAACCCCAGGUUCAAACUCUGGCCAAGAUGUUGCCAAAUGAUGAACAUAUUGUUUGUGAUGCUGUAAGGUGCAGUAGAGAUAUGUGGAACACAAUAACCAAGCAGUGAAGCAGUUUGACAAGCCCAAAAGAAGUAUUUGGAGUGAGUUAAUUUGAUCUCCUGGUCCCUCCUGAAAGACCUUCUUGGUGAUACCCUUUGUUGUACCAGUUGGCUUUUAUUUCAUCUCUGGAUUGUCCAGUUCUGUGGAGCCUAUAUUACCUUCACCACCUUCUUACAACAUCUGGAUCUUCUUCAUCCACCUUCUUCCGUUCAUCAUCCAGCCAGUCUUCUUUGAAGGCUCUUUAACUUUGUGGGUGAUCCUGCUUCUUGAAUAGAGAACUCUGUCAUUUAAUGGCUCCAGAGGAAAAUGAAAGGGGUCCAGUUAAGAAUUCCUUUGCAGAAAAGGAAGGACUCUUCCCUGGUUUUUGUACUGGCUAUUUGUUGAACCAGCUAUUUAUUUUCAAUGUGACCUAGAGAAACACUACUGGACUAGAGAAGGCUAGGAGAGUCAAAUAGUUCUAGGCUUGGAAGAGGCACUUUGACCUGACUUGGUGAUGUCAAACCAGAAAACUACCAGAAAAAACCAAAGAAACAAACAAAAAAUACCCAGGCUCUCUUCUCCCUCCCUCUGGAAUUCUCAACCAGGAACUCCAUGGAAUGCAUGACAACAACUCCUGUACCUAUCAGUUCCCAGCUCCUUCAACCUGUUCUAUUUCCAAGUUCUUUUAAUUCACGUAAGUUCAAUUCUCCUUAUUUCUCUCUUUCUUCCCUUUAGAUCCUUCUACUUAUUCCCACUUAAGUGGGUUUUAAUUGCAGUAUAUUAUCAGAGGCAUAUACCCUCAACAGCAUACAUUUGGAUUACUUUGGAGGCGUUUAGCAAAUUCUUUGGCGUCAGUGACAUGUGCUAUGCUCUGGUUAAGUCAUACAUGGAUGAUCUGAUCUGAAUGAAGAUUGUGUUGAGAUUAUCUAUGGAUUUGUCAUACUGGUUUUGCCCUGACUAUUAAUAUAUAUAACAGAUGACAGGAUUAUCUUAUGCAAUGUCCUUUACAAGAUUAACAUUUUUAGUAUUACAAUGUGGCAAAGUGAAUAAAAGUGAUUACUGCAAUGCA